rnacentral:rRNA from 1 species
AUAGUGAACCAGUACCGUGAGGGAAAGGUGAAAAGCACCCCGGAAGGGGAGUGAAAGAGAUCCUGAAACCGUGUGCCUACAAAUAGUCAGAGCACGUUAAUGGGUGAUGGUGUGCCUUUUGUAGAAUGAACCGGCGAGUUACGAUCCCGUGCGAGGUUAAGCUGAAGAGGCGGAGCCGCAGCGAAAGCGAGUCUGAAUAGGGCGUUUAGUACGUGGUCGUAGACCCGAAACCAGGUGAUCUACCCAUGUCCAGGGUGAAGUUCAGGUAACACUGAAUGGAGGCCCGAACCCACGCAUGUUGAAAAGUGCGGGGAUGAGGUGUGGGUAGCGGAGAAAUUCCAAUCGAACCUGGAGAUAGCUGGUUCUCCCCGAAAUAGCUUUAGGGCUAGCCUUAAGUGUAAGAGUCUUGGAGGUAGAGCACUGAUUGGACUAGGGGUCCUCAUCGGAUUACCGAAUUCAGUCAAACUCCGAAUGCC